rnacentral:rRNA from 1 species
GACGAGGGAUGCAAGCGUUAUCCGGAAUUACUGGGCGUAAAGGACGUCUAGGCGGUUGGAUAAGUCAUUUGUGAAAUCCCAGGGCUUAACCCUGGAAGGUCUUGUGAUACUGUCCAGCUUGGGUGUAGGAGAGGAGAGCGGAACUCACAGAGUAGCGGUGGAAUGCGUAGAUACUGUGAGGUACCCCGAUGGCGAAGGCAGCUCUCUGGCCUAUUACCGACGCUGAAGCGUGAAAGCGUGGGGAGCAAAGGGG